AGUAGAGCUUUCAAAAAGAAUCACAGCUGGGCAUGGUAGUGUGUGCCCUUAGUCCCAGCUACUUGGAAGGCUGAGGCAGGAGGAUCCCUUGAUCCUAGAAGUUUGAGGCUAUAGUGCACAAUAAUCACAUCUGUGAAUUGCCAUUGUAUUCCAACCUGGGCAAUAUAGUGAGACUCUGUCUCUCAAAAAAAGAAAAAAAAAGUCAUAAAAGUUGAUUUUUUUUUUUUUUUUUUUUUGAGACGGAGUCUCACUCUGUUGCCCAGGCUGGAGUGCAGUGGCGCAAUCUUGGCUCACUGCAACUUCUGCCUCCCGGGUUCAAGCAAUUCUUCUGCCUCAGGCUCCUGAGUAGCUGGGACUACAGGCACAUGCCACCACGCCCGGCUAAUUUUUGUAUUUUUAGUAGAGACAGGGUUUUACCAUGUUGGCCAGGCUGGUCUUGAACUCCUAACCUCGUGAUCCACCCGCCUCAGCCUCCCAAAGUGCUGGGAUUACAGUCGUGAGCUACCGUGCACGGCGAGUUAGAGACGAGGUUUCACCGUGUUAGCCAGGAUAGUCUCGAUCUCCCGACGUCGUGAUCCGCCCGCCUCAGCCUCCCAAAGUGCUGGGAUUACAGGCAUGAGCCACUAGAAUUUAUAUUUUAAUAAGUUCCCGAAGUGACUUAUAUGCACAUUAAAGAUUGAGAAGCCAUGCAUUACAGGAUUUGAUGAAGCAAACACAUUUUGAGUUUCUCAGCUGAGCCAAAGGAAAUCAAGAAAUCUCCUGGAAUCAAGGAAAUCAAGGAAUCAAUUACUUACACCAUGCUGAGCAAGAGACAACAUGAAGGCAGAGGUAACAGUAAUCAGACAGGAUUUCCAAGGGUCUCACUCUGUGGCACAAUGAUCAUGGUUCACUGCAGCCUCGGCCUUCUGAGCUCAAGUGAUCCUCCCGCCUCCGCCUCCGCCUCCUGAGUAGCUGGGACUACAGAUGUGCGACACAGCACCUGGCAAAUUUUUAAGUAUUUUCUUCAGACUGAAACAUCAUUGUGUUAAAGAUAAAAAAGAAAAAAAUAUUCUUGUGGAGAUAGGAUCUCACUGUUGUCCAGAUUGGUCUCAAAUGUUUGAGCUCAAGCCAUCCUCCUGCCUUGGCCUCCCAAAGUGCUGGCAUUACAGGGUGA
rnacentral:sRNA from 1 species